rnacentral:tRNA from 1 species
UGCAGGGUGGAUUACUGGAGGAUCAUCAGUCUCAUAAGCUGGUUUAAGUAGGUUCGAUUCCUGUCCCUGCAA